rnacentral:rRNA from 1 species
CAAGUCGAGCGGACCGACGGGAGCUUGCUCCCUUAGGUCAGCGGCGGACGGGUGAGUAACACGUGGGUAACCUGCCUGUAAGACUGGGAUAACUCCGGGAAACCGGGGCUAAUACCGGAUGCUUGAUUGAACCGCAUGGUUCAAUCAUAAAAGGUGGCUUUUAGCUACCACUUACAGAUGGACCCGCGGCGCAUUAGCUAGUUGGUGAGGUAACGGCUCACCAAGGCGACGAUGCGUAGCCGACCUGAGAGGGUGAUCGGCCACACUGGGACUGAGACACGGCCCAGACUCCUACGGGAGGCAGCAGUAGGGAAUCUUCCGCAAUGGACGAAAGUCUGACGGAGCAACGCCGCGUGAGUGAUGAAGGUUUUCGGAUCGUAAAACUCUGUUGUUAGGGAAGAACAAGUACCGUUCGAAUAGGGCGGUACCUUGACGGUACCUAACCAGAAAGCCACGGCUAACUACGUGCCAGCAGCCGCGGUAAUACGUAGGUGGCAAGCGUUGUCCGGAAUUAUUGGGCGUAAAGCGCGCGCAGGCGGUUUCUUAAGUCUGAUGUGAAAGCCCCCGGCUCAACCGGGGAGGGUCAUUGGAAACUGGGGAACUUGAGUGCAGAAGAGGAGAGUGGAAUUCCACGUGUAGCGGUGAAAUGCGUAGAGAUGUGGAGGAACACCAGUGGCGAAGGCGACUCUCUGGUCUGUAACUGACGCUGAGGCGCGAAAGCGUGGGGAGCGAACAGGAUUAGAUACCCUGGUAGUCCACGCCGUAAACGAUGAGUGCUAAGUGUUAGAGGGUUUCCGCCCUUUAGUGCUGCAGCAAACGCAUUAAGCACUCCGCCUGGGGAGUACGGUCGCAAGACUGAAACUCAAGGGAAUUGACGGGGGCCCGCACAAGCGGUGGAGCAUGUGGUUUAAUUCGAAGCAACGCGAGAACUUUACCAGGUCUUGACAUCUCUGACACCCUAGAGAUAGGCUUCCCUCGGGCAGAGUGACAGGUGGUGCAUGUUGUCGUCAGCUCGUGUC